rnacentral:rRNA from 1 species
CAGUCGCCGCGGUAAUACGAAGGGGGCUAGCGUUGUUCGGAUUUACUGGGCGUAAAGCGCACGUAGGCGGAUCGAUCAGUCAGGGGUGAAAUCCCAGAGCUCAACUCUGGAACUGCCUUUGAUACUGUCGAUCUGGAGUAUGGAAGAGGUGAGUGGAAUUCCGAGUGUAGAGGUGAAAUUCGUAGAUAUUCGGAGGAACACCAGUGGCGAAGGCGGCUCACUGGUCCAUUACUGACGCUGAGGUGCGAAAGCGUGGGGAGCAAACAGGAUUAGAUACCCGCGUAGUCCCUGUCUCUUAUAA